rnacentral:rRNA from 1 species
AUUGAACGCUGGCGGCAGGCCUAACACAUGCAAGUCGAGCGGAAGAAGGGAGCUUGCUCCUGGAUUCAGCGGCGGACGGGUGAGUAAUACCUAGGAAUAUGCCUGGUAGUAGGGGAUAACGUCCGGAAACGGGCGCUAAUACCGCAUACGACCUGAUGGAGAAAGUGGGGGAUCUUCGGACCUCACGCUAUCAGAUGAGCCUAGGUCGGAUUAGCUAGUUGGUGGGGUAAAGGCCUACCAAGGCGACGAUCCGUAACUGGUCUGAGAGGAUGAUCAGUCACACUGGAACUGAGACACGGUCCAGACUCCUACGGGAGGCAGCAGUGGGGAAUAUUGGACAAUGGGCGAAAGCCUGAUCCAGCCAUGCCGCGUGUGUGAAGAAGGUCUUCGGAUUGUAAAGCACUUUAAGUUGGGAGGAAGGGCAGUAAGUUAAUACCUUGCUGUUUUGACGUUACCAACAGAAUAAGCACCGGCUAACUUCGUG